rnacentral:rRNA from 1 species
AUUGAACGCUGGCGGCAUGCCUAACACAUGCAAGUCGAACGCGAAAGGGGGGCAACCCCCGAGUAGAGUGGCGGACGGGUGAGUAAUACGUAGGAAUCUACCCAGUAGUGGGGGACAACUUAGGGAAACUUAAGCUAAUACCGCAUACGCACUACGGUGGAAAGCAGGGGAUCGCAAGACCUUGCGCUAUUGGAUGAGCCUACGUCUGAUUAGCUUGUUGGUAGGGUAACGGCCUACCAAGGCGACGAUCAGUAGCUGGUUUGAGAGAACGACCAGCCACACUGGGACUGAGACACGGCCCAGACUCCUACGGGAGGCAGCAGUGGGGAAUAUUGGACAAUGGGGGCAACCCUGAUCCAGCAAUGCCGCGUGUGUGAAGAAGGCCUUAGGGUUGUAAAGCACUUUCGGCAGGGAGGAGAAAGCUCAAGGCUAAUAUCCUUGGGUCGUAGACGUUACCUGCAGAAGAAGCACCGCAUC